rnacentral:rRNA from 1 species
GAGUUUGAUUAUGGCUCAGAAUGAACGCUGGCGGCAGGCCUAACACAUGCAAGUCGAGCGCACCUUCGGGUGAGCGGCGGACGGGUGAGUAACGCGUGGGAAUAUGCCCUUCACUGCGGAAUAGCCACUGGAAACGGUGAGUAAUACCGCAUACGCCCUUCGGGGGAAAGAUUUAUCGGUGAAGGAUUAGCCCGCGUUGGAUUAGGUAGUUGGUGGGGUAACGGCCCACCAAGCCGACGAUCCAUAGCUGGUUUGAGAGGAUGAUCAGCCACACUGGGACUGAGACACGGCCCAGACUCCUACGGGAGGCAGCAGUGGGGAAUCUUGGACAAUGGGGGAAACCCUGAUCCAGCCAUGCCGCGUGAGCGAUGAAGGCCUUACGGUUGUAAAGCUCUUUCGCCAGGGAUGAUAAUGACAGUACCUGGUAAAGAAGCCCCGGCUAACUCCGUGCCAGCAGCCGCGGUAAUACGGAGGGGGCUAGCGUUGUUCGGAAUUACUGGGCGUAAAGCGCGCGUAGGCGGACUAUUAAGUCAGGGGUGAAAUCCCGGGGCUCACCCCGGAACUGCCCUUGAUACUGGUAGUCUUGAGUUCGAGAGAGGUGAGUGGAAUUCCGAGUGUACAGGUGAAAUUCCUAGAUAUUCCGGAGGACACCAAUGGCGUAGGCGGCUCACUGGGCUCGAUACUGACGCUGAGGUGCGAAAGCCGAUGGGGCAGCUAACAGGAUUAGAAUACCCUUGUUAGUCCUCGCCCGUAAACGAUGAAUGCCAUACGGUCCGGCAAGCCAUUGCUUGUUUCCGGGCGUGCUGCACACCUA